rnacentral:tRNA from 2 species
GGUUUUGUGGUGUAGUUGGUUAUCAUACCAGUCCACCACAGUGGUGGUUCCCUGUUCGAGCGCGGGCGAAAUCA